GUGGAGUUCAUAGAAUUGCAAAUCUAACAGAAGAAAUACUUGGCAUCCUCUUUCAAAAAUAAAAAUUCAGUCUAUUUGUAAUACUGAAAUGAAGAGAUUGGGAAACUGUUCAAUGGACAACAGCAUUAAAGAGAGAGAAAGAUAUGAAUUGUGUAAGUUUUUCCCACUCUUGGCCAUAAGUUGAAAUGAAUCUAGACCAAAGAGAAAUGCAACAAAGGAUGUUUAAAUUCAUUUGGAGUGUAAAGGCAGAAUGUAUAAAUUAAUGUAUGAGGCUGAAAAGGCAUCAAAGACAGAUUUGAAUGAGUGAGCCAUCUCAGCCCACUAACCUGGCAGAAAACUGCACUGGCCCCUCUCAACAAAGGAAUUUUUCUGGCAAAGCCAAUUAGUGCUGCCUUGUCAGCUGUUCUAAAGAUUGCCGCAGCCUUAUGUCUCAAAGGCCUGGAGUAUGUCUGAAAUACCACUCUCAGCACAAGAUGAUAAAGCAAACCUGCAGGGGUAAGGAAAUAUAGAUUUGAGCAUGGUCAGUUAGUGUUGUGGUCUAAACUGUCAUAGAACAGGACCUGGAAGUAUUGGAGGAGUAAUCAGCCCAGGAAGAAAAAUGUGAUGAAACUCUACUUUCUCCUUUGAAUCCUCUCUGACUGUAUGCUAACCUGAAAGCAAGCUUACAAGUCAGAGAUUCUCCCUCACAGAAGCAAAUACCUUGGCUGAAGAUGAGAUGAUCUAUUAGAGAAGAGCCAUAUCCAAAGAUGCUCACAGCUUUGAGGUCAGCUUAUCCUCUGCACUGUGAUGGUCUCGGGUAAGGAUGCGGUGAUGUUGCUGGCUGCAGCUGUCCCAGCUGGGCAAGGGUCUGCAGUCAGCAGCAGGCAGCUGGGAGGUGGUUAUGGAGCACUCCGGUGUGCAAUUCCUCAGCCAGAUAAGUGACUGUUUCAGUUUAUCCUUUUGACAAGAGCAGAGGUUUUCUAUUUUAGACAGUCACAAAAGGUGAGCACAUAGUGUUUAGGGGAAAGACAGCUCAAGCAGUGAUCUGGGCACCAAGAAAUAGGGAAAAGGAAGAAAAAGGUCUUUGAAAUGAUCCCACUUAACCGUCAAAUAACUAUUACCAUGGCACAAACCCAAAUUGAUAUGCUACCUCCACAACACUUUGAUUCACUCCUGCAGCCAGGUGCCGAGAGUGCCUGUAAUAAUACAGGGUGUUACAACAGAGAAGCACAUAGGAGGGCAGACAGGGAAGACAGUAGUCAGAAAGCAAGCUGUCUGCUGUGCAGGCAGGGCGGAUACUUCAAACAGUAAGGAAAUCUUUGUCAAGGAAGUUCUUGUCAGGAGCUACACAAGAGUUCCCUGUGAUGUUAAUGCCCACUGUUACUACUCUCUCCCACUAAAAAGAACUUUUGUCCUGGUGAGGCGACUUUGCCCAUGAUGGGGUGACAAGCAAUCUCCGAUCCUUUUUGUUUUAUUCCAGUUACUUGCAGAUUUCCUGCUUCUCUAACCCAUGGUGACUGCUUCUUUGACUUGAAAGUUCACAGUGGCAGAGCCACUAGCCUCGCUUUACAAGUGCAGAGAGGCGCAGGAAGAGUUUAUUUUAGUCCUAAGAAGCAACAUAAAUUCACACACUUUGAUUCUUCCCCUUAAAACCUAUCUGAAAGCUCAAACAUCCAGCAGGGCUGUAUAUAAAGAAGAAGGACUGCUGUUUCCUUUUCUGCAUCUUGGUUUCAAUGCUUUCUGUCAGUGGAUACCAACAGCAAUCUACUACUGGAGGAAUCACUGCAGCUUUUAGAUGGAAUUUCCCAAGCCUGUUACCUCUAGGCUACAUUAUAAUAUGCCAGUAUCAUCUGUCACUCCAGCAGUUUCUAGUAUUUACCUUAACAGCUCUCAAGUCACACCUGCCUUUCUUAUACCUGAGGUGCAGCUCAAGGCAGGUGAAGCAAAAUCAACAGAAAAAUCCUAAAGCUCCUCUCUUUCCUCCCUCUCACUGCUAACCUAGCAUGAGAAGAGCUGAUGUGGAAAUGGAUGAGGCAAAGUCUCACUCAAGAAAAUACUGUGGGCAAGUGAUAGGGGAGAUGUGACUGUGGGAAUGCUAAUGUAUCAGCCCCACUCUCUCACUGGUACAACCCUCAUUGCACUGAGAAAAUUGGUUUGUAUUUGAUUCUGCUGAUGUAGCAAACCAAAACAGCAAGUCAAUUUAUGAUAGAGGAUGGAAAAAAGAAGUGACCCGGUUUACUAAUCCCAGAAGAGACAGGACUAUAUUAACCAAACCUGCAACCUCCAUGAAUGAAUCAAUUUAGUUCUUACACCCGUAUCUUGAUUUUAUUUUUUUUUAUUUGGACUCUUACAGUCUGGGUUUGCGCAUACUGUAAACUUCCAUGGUAUUCAGAUACUUUGUAGGAUUUCUACAUGAAAAUUAGAAAGGAUUCCAGACAGGAUUCCAUUCUGCUCCUUUAAAUCUUCACAGAUGAUCCAGAUUUGAGACAAAAUUUAUGGCAUGUAGUCAGUGUAGCUGAUCUUUUUUACGGGUGCAUAUUCUGAGGCACUUAUUGUAUCUCAAAGCAUUUUAAGAGAUGGAGGCAUUUAUCAGAGUACCUUUGAGAUGCUUAUAGCUACAGGAGAAGUCCUUUAAUUGGGAGAUUGCAUAAGAUGAUAUUGCAUCCUAAAUCCACAAGAACAAAAAGAACAGAAAUAAAGGAAAUAACCUGCAACAUGAAAAUGUCAUGAAUAAGAAAGGAUCAUAAUUAGAUUAUAGCUGUAUUUCAUCUUAACCUUACCAACAUUUAAUCUUGAUAUCACAAUUUUUACACUAAAAUGUUUAGUCUUGGGAUUUCUCUGGCACCUUCUCAUACACAUUUUCUAUGUUAAAUUGUAUAUAAAUCAGGUCAGCUUGGGGUUUCUGGGGUCUGCUUUGAAGAAUUGGGAUUGCUAUAACUGGGAUUGCUCAGGUUAACCCUGUGGAAAACACUAGAGUUAACUAGUCCUUAUCCCUUCCUCUUUCCUUUUGAAGCAAGUUACUGUUGAAAACUUGGACUAAACUUCAGGAACAAAACACAACUUAAGCCAGCCUGAGUCCUACCUAACUUCAACAGCAGCGUAACACUACUGUGUACUUCUCUGCUUGGCAGCAGUCAAAUGCCUCCUUAGCAAGGCCCAGUGACUUAAAACAUUUAUCUCUACACACAUGUGGCCUCCAAUUAAAAAUGUUCCAAAAUAGAUUCCAAAGAACAUAUUCAAAAACCUCCCCAAACUGUACUUGUAAAGGGGCCUAGCAAAAACUAUGUCUACCAACUGCAGAAAACACACUUUCACCUUCAUCGUUCUAAUUAACACCUGCAGAAUCCCAAAAAAUCUCACCUUUUUCAGUAUUAUGAUUCCUACUGUGUGACCGUAGCAAGGUGCUUACCUGUACAAUUAUUCUGCACUAAAUGACCGGUUCUGCUGGGAACUUCUUCAGUAUAAAAUGGCCUUAGCUAUUCCCUGGAUGCUGUUAUAAACCAGAGUCCUGAAGAGGCUAGCUGUACUUGGGUGACUGACUUUGGACAUCAGUGGCAAAAUGCUGGGAAUCUGAGGAAAAACUGAAGACUUCAGUUUAAAAUACAAAUGCCGGUCUCUGAUUUUUCCAGUGCAAUACUUAUUGUGACAAAUAGGUUCAGCCAUGCAGAUUAUUUCUAGGCACUUGCAAAUUUUCCUCACCUAAAAUCAUUUAGUGCUGCAGAAAGAAUAGACACUUCUGUAGACUUUUUAUUGUUUUAAAAUUUUACUAUUAGGGAACUAUCAUUUUUACUUCAGGACGGUGUUAUGUCUUAUUUUGUGUUCGGGAGAAAUUCCACCCAAGGAAAAGUAAUCUGGGAUCUGGCGCCAACAGGGAUGGCUCAGAGACGCUAUGAAGGAAAAUAAAUAAAUAAAAUGCUGCAAGGCCUGCAGCUAAGAUAAGCUGAUUCAUUGCCAUGAAGCCAUAUCACCUCCAAAGUAUACUGAUUAGGUGGACAGACCAUGUGUGUACCAGGGAAAUGUAUUGUUCCAUUAAUUAAAAAACAAACAAACAAAGCCCACUCAAAAUAAAAUAAGAAACAUUCCUCCUAUAUUUUAUAUUACCCCUAAAGAACAUGUACGCAUAUAAACCCCUGGUUUAGCCUUGGUGACUACAUGGUCACUUGAAGGAGCUGAUUUCUAAUACUGUGA